AGACCACGCGCAAUCAAUGGUAGGUAAUUCUUCUUCUUCUUGUAGCUCUGUAGUUGCAGAGACAGCACUGUUCAUGGAGUAAUUUUAAGCAAGUGUUAAUGGAUGGUGGUGCUUCAUGUGGUUCACCCUCAAUGUCGCUUGUUUCAUUGCCUCCUUCCUCCGUUGACUAUGUUGAUUUGUACGGGAAGCGCCGGCAAGCAGCUAGGGUACAGGUGCUUGAGAGAGAAAUCGGCUUACUCCAGGAUGAGAUCAAAUCACUUGGAGGCAUUGAACUUGCAUCAAGAAGCUGCAAAGAGCUUGACGAAUUUAUAGACGCUACACCAGAUCCGCUAAMAGCAAUGUAUGUGUGAUUUCUUUACCACAAAAUCUAUUUCUUCGAAUUUCAUUGCGAGUUUAUGCCUUCUAAUUAUGUUCUCUAUUCGGAGUAGAAACCCGAUGAGCGGUAGGUCCAAGAACUUUUUCAAGAUCAUUAGGAGAAAGUUUAGUUGCCGCUCGUGGAUGUGUUGUUUUCGCGGGAUUUGCUGCCGUUCAACGACUUGUCAAAACCCACGCACAUCCUGUUGUUGCGACGUAAAGAAGACAUGUAGUUGGCAGUAUUGCAGGUGUUGCAAAAUUUCGUGUAGUUGCAGCUUCAGUUUGCCGUGUUCUAGAUGUUUCGUUUGCUGUUGUGGUGUAAAAUCCUGUUGUAACCCGUGUUCGUGUUUCUAGAUGUACCAAGUGGUUUGUUUCAAUGACAUUGAUUUAUUCGUCGAAGAUUCUUAAGAGUAGGAAGACAUGUAUAUAAUCUUU